UCAGCCUUUUAGUUUUGUUUUCAUCUGCGUUAGGAUCAUGGUUAGACUCCUUGUACUUUUAGCAGCUUUGCCGUUCUGCUUAACAGAACCGUCAGAGAACAGCGUUCAUCAGAAUCCCACGGCGCUGAUCAAACACCUUGGAGAAGACGUCCUGAUAACGUGCAGCCAUUCCAGCACACGCUUUGAUCAGAUCCAGUGGUAUAAACAGUCUGCUGGGGGAAAUGACAUGGUGCUACUCGGCUAUGUACGAUUCACUAAUCCAGCUGUGGAAGCUCAAUUUAAAGGCACUUAUAACGUGAGUGGUAAUGGGCAAAGUCUGGCACAUCUUCAUAUUCCAAAGACACGUCGAUCUGAAGACAGCGCCGUUUAUUUCUGUGCUGCCAGCGAAGCACAGUGCUGCACAAACCCUGCGUCUUCAACAAAAACUCCCUGUAAUGCAGCCGGAUACACAAUGUGGAAUUACCACAUGAAUAAGGAAUACGCCACAUAGUGAGUGACUGAUAUCAGACAGCUGGCUCACUAUAAGACAGUCGGACAGAGGGAAAGACAAGCAAACAUUUUUUAUUUUUAGUAAGACAUACAUUUUUAAAUAUAUUAUUUUAAGGUUUUUGGAGAGUGCUGUGUAUUUUGUUGCUGUCAGCAAACUGGUUGACAUUACAUUUGAAUGUUUCUGUCACUCCAGUAGGUGGCGCUGUAGCUCCAGAAAUACUCUCUUGUGAAACACAUGAAGCACUAUGAAAUAUAAAGUAGCUAGGGAAUAUGUGAAA